GCCUCAGGUCCGAAGGGCGCCGGCGCGUGAAUCGCGUCAGGACCUCGCCGGUAGCAGCGCUAAGCGAUGUCCGGUGUCGCUUCGGGGUGCCUGAGGCACU
rnacentral:SRP_RNA from 2 species